AUUGAACGCUGGCGGCAUGCCUUACACAUGCAAGUCGAACGGUAACAGGUCUUCGGAUGCUGACGAGUGGCGAACGGGUGAGUAAUACAUCGGAACGUGCCCGAUCGUGGGGGAUAACGAGGCGAAAGCUUUGCUAAUACCGCAUACGAUCUACGGAUGAAAGCGGGGGAUCUUCGGACCUCGCGCGGACGGAGCGGCCGAUGGCAGAUUAGUUAGUUGGUGGGAUAAAGGCUUACCAAGCCGACGAUCUGUAGCUGGUCUGAGAGGAUGAUCAGCCACACUGGGACUGAGACACGGCCCAGACUCCUACGGGAGGCAGCAGUGGGGAAUUUUGGACAAUGGGCGAAAGCCUGAUCCAGCCAUGCCGCGUGAAGGAUGAAGGCCUUCGGGUUGUAAACUGCUUUUGUACGGAACGAAAAGCCUCUUUCUAAUAAAGAGGGGUCAUGACGGUACCGUAAGAAUAAGCACCGGCUAACUACGUG
rnacentral:rRNA from 1 species